rnacentral:rRNA from 1 species
GACGGAGGAUGCAAGUGUUAUCCGGAAUCACUGGGCGUAAAGCGUCUGUAGGUGGUUUAAAAAGUCCACUGUUAAAGAUUGAAGCUUAACUUCAAAAAUGCCGUGGAAACUUUUAAACUUGAGUAUGAUAGGGGUAGAGGGAAUUUCCAGUGGAGCGGUGAAAUGCGUAGAUAUUGGAAAGACCACCAAUGGCGAAGGCACUCUACUGGGCCAUUACUGACACUGAGAGACGAAAGCUAGGGGGAGCAAAUGGG